CCUACGGGCGGCAGCAGUGAGGAAUAUUGGUCAAUGGGCUUACGCCUGAACCAGCCAAGUCGCGUGAGGGAAGACUGCCCUAUGGGUUGUAAACUUCUUUUGUGCGGGAGCAAUAAUGAGCACGUGUGGCCCGACGAGAGUACCGUACGAAUAAGCAUCGGCUAACUCCGUGCCAGCAGCCGCGGUAAUACGGGGGAUGCAAGCGUUAUCCGGAUUUAUUGGGUUUAAAGGGUGCGUAGGCUGGGUGGUAAGUCAGCGGUGAAAUGCCUCCGCUCAACGGGGUGAAUUGCCAUUGAUACUGCCUUGCUGGAAUGCGGAUGCCGUGGGAGGAAUGUGUGGUGUAGCGGUGAAAUGCAUAGAUAUCACACAGAACACCGAUUGCGAAGGCAUCUCACGAAUCCGCGAUUGACGCUGAUGCACGAAAGCGUGGGUAUCAAACAGGAUUAGAUACCCUUGUAGUC
rnacentral:rRNA from 1 species